AGAGCGAACGCUGGCGGCAGGCCUAACACAUGCAAGUCGAGCGCCCGUAGCAAUACGGGAGCGGCAGACGGGAUAGUAACACGUGGGAACGCGCCCUUCGGUUCGGAAUAACUCAGGGAAACUUGAGCUAAUACCGGAUACGCCCUUACGGGGAAAGAUUUAUUGCCGAAGGAACGGCCCGCGUCCGAUUAGCUAGUUGGUGAGGUAAUGGCUCACCAAGGCGACGAUCGGUAGCUGGUCUGAGAGGAUGACCAGCAUCACUGGGACUGAGACACGGCCCAGACUCCUACGGGAGGCAGCAGUGGGGAAUAUUGGACAAUGGGCGCAAGCCUGAUCCAGCCAUGCCGCGUGGAUGAUGAAGGCCUUAGGGUUGUAAAGUCCUUUUAAGGGGAAGAUAAUGACGGUACCCGUAGAAUAAGCCCGGCUAACUUCGCGCCAGCAGCCGC
rnacentral:rRNA from 1 species